AUACGUAGGGAGCGAGCGUUGUCCGGAAUUACUGGGCGUAAAGGGCGCGUAGGCGGCGCUUCAAGUCGUCUGUCAAAUGGGAGGGCUUAACCCUCUUUCGCAGACGAAACUGGAGAGCUUGAGAAGCAGAGAGGCAAACAGAAUUCCUGGUGUAGCGGUGAAAUGCGUAGAUAUCAGGAAGAAUACCAGUGGCGAAGGAGGUUUGCUGGCUGCAUACUGACGCUGAAGCGCGAAAGCCAGGGGAGCAAACGGGAUUAGAUACCCCGGUAGUCCUGGCAGUAAACGAUGUAUGCUGGGUGUGAGACUAGCGAUAGUUUCGUGCCGAAGUUAACGCGAUAAGCAUACCGCCUGGGGAGUACGGUCGCAGGAUUGAAACUCAAAGGAAUUGACGGGG
rnacentral:rRNA from 1 species